rnacentral:lncRNA from 1 species
UUCGAUCUAUUCAAUAUGGUGGUCAAUCAAGAAAUGUUUUUGCUUGCAAAAAGAUCGUAAAUUGUUGGCGCUACAAGCUCGGAAAGAUUGUAAAUGAGAUCAGGCUUUUAUCAGCUCACAGAAUAACAAGAAGGAAUCAUCCAAACAAAUUUAUUUGUAACAUGGUGGAUAGCAAAGUCCCUCUUUGAAAACCUACUUCAGUCAUUUUACGAUUGUAAAUGAGAUCAGGCUUUUAUCAGCUCACAGAAUAACAAGAAGGAAGCAUCCAAACAAAUUCAUUUGUAAAAUGGUGGAUAACAAAGUCCCUCCUUGAAAACCUACUUCAGUCAUUUUACGAUUAAAAGUCCAGCGAGAAAUGAAGUGAAAGGCGAUUUGAAAACCACGAGAUUGGUGGCGAUCGAAGGUGGACAGCAAGAUCGAAGCUCAGCAAGAUUGAAGAUUGUUCGAAGAAGAAGGAGUUCGCCGUUGACUAAAAGGUUUAUCUGAACAGCUAGUUGUCAAGAUGAAUGCGAAGACUCGCCCGGCCAAAUUCAAAAUGGCGAUGCCAAAGAAAACCACCACCUGGACCGUUCGCAGACCUUUCUGGGCAAGAUUGUUGUGCUGUCUGGUCAAAGUUAAGUAUUUUACUUUGAUGUUUGUGUGCCUUCGGCUAAUUGUUGGCCAGAAAUGACAAAAAGCCAUAUACAAUAUGAAAUAUUCUGCGUACAAGGUUAUCUAAAAUUUCGAACUUAAUUCUGCCUGCAAUGAUGAUAAUUUUUUACUGAAAAUUUAUGUCAUGAGCAACUUCCGCACCUAUAGACUGAAGCAGAACUGAACAUUUUGUCAUUAACGUUUAUCUCAACAGCCAGUUAUCAAGACGAACGUCAAGAGAACAGUUGAAAUA